rnacentral:lncRNA from 1 species
UGGCGGCGGCCGGCAGUAGAGCGGUGGCCAGGCCGCUGGCCUUGCUGUGGCGAUGUGGUGGCCCAGGAGGCGGCAGGACGGCCAAGACCAGCGCGAGGGCCCUGGGCAAGGCCCGACAGGGUUUGAGAAAUACUUUAAGAGGAGUGGAAGGAACACAAACUGAGAAACAUCAACAGCACCAAAAAAAGAGACUGGUGAACUAGAGAAUGCUGAGUCUGGAGGAGACGGAGGCAGGAGAGGAGGGAAGCAGGAUAACGUUGCCUGGUGGAGGCGGAUGCAGAAGGGGGGACUUCCCCUGGGAUGACGAGGAUUUCCGCAGUCUGGCCCUUUUGGGGGCAGGCGUUGCCAUGGGAUUUUUCUACCUCUAUUUUCGAGAUCCUGGAAGAGAAAUCACGUGGAAGCACUUUGUACAGUAUUACCUGGCCAGAGGUCUGGUGGACCGGCUGGAAGUCGUGAACAAACAAUCUGUGCGUGUUAUUCCUGCCCCUGGGACCUCUUCUGAAGUGAGGGGUGAAUUU